GGGCCAAUCAGAACCUGCCGGGGGGUCUCUAUGCUGACCGGAAGUGGGUCUGUUACCCGGGGGCCAUCUUGCCGCUCGAGGUGCCGAGCCUUAGAGACGCGGGUCCCCGGGGGUCGAGGAAGGGGAGGCAGCUGUCGGUCACCGAGCUCCCGGGCGCAGGCCAGCCCGAGACCAGGCCCUAGAACCUUCCAGAUGCCGGUGGUGAGGGACGACAACUGCCCCUGCUCCUCUCCCCUCUGCCCAGCUGCCCAGCGAGACUGUGGGGCAGACACGUGCACAUGGAUUGAACUCCCGGGGCAGGGACCUUCGCUAUUUGUUCUCUGCUGCGGCAGAGGUGCUGAAGGAGGAGCUCAGGAAUCCUCGUCGGGUGGACAAAUGACAGGAGAGUGGGACAUACCGAAUGGAUGAACGAGAGCACAUGCUGAACACGUCUUGCCGUGGGAGGGGCGCGAGCCUGGCAGGCAGGCCAACCCACCCUUCCUCCCCAGCUCCCCCUCGCCCCGCAGGUGGACGUGGUUGAUGGUGGGGACGUUCCCUUCCACGGCUUCCUCUGGGCAUUUCGCUUGUGUGCACGAGCGCGUGGGCGCGUGGCUGGGCUGCACCCAAUCACGAUACGUGGCCCAGACGUCUCGCGGCAUUGAAAGAAGAGUUGGGGCACCUGAGUGGCUCGACUGGACAAGCAUCCCGCUCGAUUUCAGCUCAGGUGGUGGUGUCCGGGCUGUGAGCUGCAGCCCGCCGGUGGGCUCUGUGCUCGGAGGGGAGUCUGCUGCUCUUCCUCUGCCCCUCCCCCGUAAAUAAACAGACAAAUCUUAAAAGAGGGUCUUAAAAA
rnacentral:lncRNA from 1 species